CUACGAGGACGAACGCUGGCGGCGUGCCUAACACAUGCAAGUCGAACGGAGAUAUGAUUUCGGUUGUAUCUUAGUGGCGAACGGGUGAGUAACGCGUGAACAACCUGACUCUAAGAGGGGGAUAACACUCGGAAACGGGUGCUAAUACCGCAUAAGACCACGACCUGGCAUCAGGAUGGGGUCAAAGGAGCAAUCCGCUGAGAGAGGGGUUCGCGUCCCAUUAGAUAGAUGGCGGGGUAACGGCCCACCAUGUCAACGAUGGGUAGCCGAGCUGAGAGGCUGAUCGGCCACACUGGAACUGAGACACGGUCCAGACUCCUACGGGAGGCAGCAGUGGGGAAUAUUGGGCAAUGGGCGCAAGCCUGACCCAGCAACGCCGCGUGAGGGAAGAAGGCUUUCGGGUUGUAAACCUCUGUCCUUGGUGACGAAACAAAUGACGGUAGCCAAGGAGGAAGCCCCGGCUAACUACGUG
rnacentral:rRNA from 1 species